AACGAACGCUGGCGGCAUGCCUAACACAUGCAAGUCGAACGAAGCCUUCGGGCUUAGUGGCGCACGGGUGCGUAACGCGUGGGAAUCUGCCCUUGGGUUCGGAAUAACAGUUAGAAAUGACUGCUAAUACCGGAUGAUGUCUUCGGACCAAAGAUUUAUCGCCCAGGGAUGAGCCCGCGUAGGAUUAGGUAGUUGGUGGGGUAAUGGCCUACCAAGCCGACGAUCCUUAGCUGGUCUGAGAGGAUGAUCAGCCACACUGGGACUGAGACACGGCCCAGACUCCUACGGGAGGCAGCAGUGGGGAAUAUUGGACAAUGGGCGAAAGCCUGAUCCAGCAAUGCCGCGUGAGAGAUGAAGGCCUUAGGGUUGUAAAGCUCUUUUACCAGGGAUGAUAAUGACAGUACCUGGAGAAUAAGCUCCGGCUAACUCCGUGCCAGCCGCCGCAGUAAUAC
rnacentral:rRNA from 1 species